rnacentral:rRNA from 1 species
CGUAGGGUGCGAGCGUUAAUCGGAAUUACUGGGCGUAAAGCGUGCGCAGGCGGUUUGUUAAGAUAGGCGUGAAAUCCCCGGGCUCAACCUGGGAACUGCGCUUAUGACUGGCAAGCUAGAGUACGGCAGAGGGGGGUGGAAUUCCACGUGUAGCAGUGAAAUGCGUAGAGAUGUGGAGGAACACCAAUGGCGAAGGCAGCCCCCUGGGUCGAUACUGACGCUCAUGCACGAAAGCGUGGGUAGCAAACAGGAUUAGAUACCCUGGUAGUCCACGCCCUAAACGAUGUCAACUAGGUGUUGGAUGGGUAAAACCAUUUAGUGCCGGAGCUAACGCGUGAAGUUGACCGCCUGGGGAGUACGGCCGCAAGGUUA